GAUGAACGCUGGCGGCGUGCCUAAUACAUGCAAGUCGAGCGAACAGACGAGGAGCUUGCUCCUCUGACGUUAGCGGCGGACGGGUGAGUAACACGUGGAUAACCUACCUAUAAGACUGGGAUAACUUCGGGAAACCGGAGCUAAUACCGGAUAAUAUAUUGAACCGCAUGGUUCAAUAGUGAAAGACGGUUUUGCUGUCACUUAUAGAUGGAUCCGCGCCGCAUUAGCUAGUUGGUAAGGUAACGGCUUACCAAGGCAACGAUGCGUAGGCGACCUGAGAGGGUGAUCGGCCACACUGGAACUGAGCCACGGUCCAGACUCCUACGGGAGGCAGCAGUAGGGAAUCUUCCGCAAUGGGCGAAAGCCUGACGGAGCAACGCCGCGUGAGUGAUGAAGGUCUUCGGAUCGUAAAGCUCUGUUAUUAGGGAAGAACAAAUGUGUAAGUAACUAUGCACGUCUUGACGGUACCUAAUCAGAAAGCCACGGCUAACUACGUG
rnacentral:rRNA from 1 species